rnacentral:rRNA from 1 species
UACGGAAGGCAGCAGUGGGGAAUAUUGCACAAUGGGCGCAAGCCUGAUGCAGCCAUGCCGCGUGUAUGAAGAAGGCCCUCGGGUUGUAAAGUACUUUCAGUCGUGAGGAAGGUGUUAAGGUUAAUAACCUUAGCAAUUGACGUUAGCGACAGAAGAAGCACCGGCUAACUCCGUGCCAGCAGCCGCGGUAAUACGGAGGGUGCGAGCGUUAAUCGGAAUUACUGGGCGUAAAGGGCACGCAGGCGGUUAAUUAAGUUGGAUGUGAAAUCCCCGGGCUUAACCUGGGAAUGGCAUUCAAGACUGGUUAGCUAGAGUCUUGUAGAGGGGGUAGAAUUCCAUGUGUAGCGGUGAAAUGCGUAGAGAUGUGGAGGAAUACCGGUGGCGAAGGCGGCCCCUGGACAAAGACUGACGCUCAUGUGCGAAAGCGUGGGGAGCAAAC